UAAGACAGAGGGUGCAAACGUUGCUCGGAAUUACUGGGCGUAAAGCGCGUGUAGGCGGACUGGUAAGUCGGACGUGAAAGCCCUGGGCUCAACCCAGGAACUGCAUCCGAAACUAUCAGUCUGGAGUGGUGGAGAGGGAAGCAGAAUUCCUGGUGUAGAGGUGAAAUUCGUAGAUAUCAGGAGGAACACCGGUGGCGAAGGCGGCUUCCUGGACACUAACUGACGCUGAGACGCGAAAGCGUGGGGAGCAAACAGGAUUAGAUACCCUGGUAGUCCACGCCGUAAACGAUGAGUGCUGGGUGUCGUGGGUUUUGACCCCCGCGGUGCCGUAGCUAACGCGUUAAGCACUCCGCCUGGGGAGUACGGCCGCAAGGCUA
rnacentral:rRNA from 1 species